rfam:Picea glauca, whole genome shotgun sequence.
ACAUGCCUACAACAUAGUGUUAAUGCACUAGAUCCCAUUAGAAAUCCACAGUUAAGCACACCCAGAAUAGAGUAGUACUGGGAUGGGUGACCGCCCGGGAAGUACUAGUGUUUUACAUGCC